rnacentral:rRNA from 1 species
AACGGGGGGGGCGAGCGUUAUUCGUCUUUACUGGGCGUAAAGGGUUCGUAGGCCGCAUAUGGAUUCAGUUAGCACGACACUUCACGAUCUACUCGUACUUUGUGCUUUAUUGAAAUAUGCUUGAAUCUAGUGGAGGUUUUUGGUACCGGCGAAGGAGGGGUGAAAUCCGUUGAUAAUGUUAGGGACUACCGAUGGCGAAGGCAAAAAACUAUUCUAGAUUGACGCUGAGGGACGAAAGCGUGGGGAGCGAACGGG